rnacentral:rRNA from 1 species
UGGGGAAUAUUGGACAAUGGGCGGAAGCCUGAUCCAGCAACGCCGCGUGAGGGAUGACGGCCUUCGGGUUGUAAACCUCUUUCAGCAGGGACGAAGCGCAAGUGACGGUACCUGCAGAAGAAGCACCGGCCAACUACGUG